GGGGAAGAUUGGAAAAAGUGCGAAAGCCUGAUACAGCCAUGCCGCGUGUGUGAAGAAGGUCUUCGGAUUGUCAAGCACCUUAAGUUGGGAGGAAGGGGUUCUGGCCAAUAACCCGAAAUUUUGACGUUACAGACAGAACAAGCACCCGCGAACUUCUGUGCCAGCAGCCGCGGUAAUACGAAGGGUGCAAGCGUUAAUCGGAAUUACUGGGCGUAAAGCGCGCGUAGGUGGUUCGUUAAGUUGGAUGUGAAAGCCCCGGGCUCAACCUGGGAACUGCAUCCAAAACUGGCGAGCUAGAGUAUGGCAGAGGGUGGUGGAAUUUCCUGUGUAGCGGUGAAAUGCGUAGAUAUAGGAAGGAACACCAGUGGCGAAGGCGACCACCUGGGCUAAUACUGAAACUGAGGUGCGAAAGCGUGGGGAGCAAACA
rnacentral:rRNA from 1 species